CCAAUCCCUCGAAGGCACAAUGCACUUGAAAGGCGCUUGAAAUAUGUGUGAAACGUGUGUGCCAAGUACCCAGCACCAGGCACCAGGCACCCAGUACUUGGAACUCAGUUGAGUGCCCAAGGAACCCGAUACUUAUCGGGUGUCGACGUUGCCAUCGAAUUGGGAUUGUUCGGUUCGAUCCUACAACAAAUGGCGAAAUCACUUAACACACCGUUAACACCCACAUUAGUUGUACUCCGGCGCACGUGAAGAUGGGCAGGGGCAACUGCCUGGCUGCGUUCCACUUACAGCCGGAGUUUCAAUUACUUUUCGCCGAGCCACCACCGAAAUUAUUUCAUACAUACUCGUAUAUGCCAAGGAACUCGGCGUCUCAUAAUCGAAUUAAAUGCAUUGCCGCCAGUUGGAUGGGGUUGGCAUAACCCGGCUCGAGUCGAAAAAGUCAUUAAAAACGCAGGCCAAGCGAUUGCACGCAAAUUUGCUGGUCGCGCUCGGUGUCUUUGUUCCUGGCUCGAAUCCCAACCCCCCAACUGGUUCAGCACAGCCGCGGCCAGCUGACUAGCAGCCCAUCAUCAAAUUGGAUUUUUUAUACCAGAUCAAGUUGGGGCCUAAAUGAUUUUUAAUGCUGUCUCCAUUUAUUUUAACAUAAUUGGACUAUAUCUUAAGGAUCAGCACUUGAGGAUCUCCAAGAUAAAGGCCUAGCUUGAUUUGAUAUUUUCCAAAAUUAAAAUAUGCCGUUUUACCAAAAUAACGAUAUAAACAUCCGGAGUGCAAGACAAUUCAAUGAGACAAGACAAGACAAAAAUUACGUUUUUAAUAUUGUAUUAAGACUGAAAUCCUAUAUAAAUGUUGUACAUCAAGUUGAGGAAGUACUUUUACUUCGGCUCUAGUUGUGUGCCCCCCAUCGUACCCAACACCCAUUUGCAGGCACACACACAUGAGCUGGCCGAACUAUGAAUGGAAUUGGCAAUGAAAUCGCACGUGGCGAUUCUCUGGUCACCCGCGAUAAGCAACUACCGUCGCGUGGCUCCGUUGCCCGGAUUCUAACCCCAACCCACCCCGGAUCGCUCCGGAGCAGAGAUACUAUCGAUGAAUGGACGGAUGAAUGAGGACACUUUGCCAUUCGUGGGGUAUAUAUGACAAACGAGACACCCUGCAGUGCCAAUCCCUUGGAUAGUGCAGGACUAUGAGCUGGAAAAUUAUAGUUCAGUCAGCUGGAUUGUAUCUGCGUGGAAACUGUGGGAGAAUUCCCCAAGGAUCUCAACACAAGAGAGAUAAAAGCCUAAACUCGGAUUUGGACUGAAUUUAUUGGUCCAGUCUGGCAAUGCAUUAGUACAUUAAUAUUUGACCCCAAAACUGAACAAGGCAAGUUCGGUUAAGUAUGAACUGCGAUUUUCACACUCCCACACGCAUUGGAAAUUACGCACCAACCAUAAAUAUUCAUACGAGUUGACUUUGUGAUCGGCUGGACUGGAAAAUGGCAGUCGAGCUUAGCAAAUCACAAAUUUAUGGCCCAAUCCAUCAAUGCCAAUGCCACGGGCGACUUUAAAAGGGACCUCCCGUCGCACCACCGAACCAAAUUAAACCACACCACACCGAACCAACCCAAACCAAACCACCGCACCACUCUAAUCGCUUCCCACGAUCGCCGCGGCGCAGCUAGCAUUUCCAUAUGUAAAGUUGCGCCUUCAUUAAUCCGUAAAUUAGAAGCAUUGAAUGAUAUCAGUCGCCCUCUGAAGUGCACCCUCUUCCCAGUUCCACUCGGAAUCCCAAUGCCAAUGCCAAUCCCAAU